GGUGAGCUGCUCGAGGGGCGGGCCCACGGCGGCCGGGCCCCCAGCGGUGGCGUCAAGGGGCAGGCGGGGACGCUCGCUCCCCACCGCCGGGCACGUGCGGGGAAGGGUGAGAGGCUCAUUAGCAUGGCAGCCCCUCCCACGUCACCGCCAGCUGCAGUUUCUUCCACUGGCGCGGAUCGGAGGGGAGGGGGGACCGAGCGGGGAGCGGCUCCUGGAAAACAGAUUCUUUUUCCCAGCCCUCCUCCAGUGGAUGAUCUGCACUGGGUUGCCUCGGGUGUCCUGGGUGUGGAAACCAAGGAUCUAUCAAGCCAAGCUUCAUCUCAGCUACGAGGACCUUUGUACAAUUUGUACCAGUGAUAGUACCUUCCUCCUUCUGCCACAACUGCACCCUCCCUUCCAAGGCAGCUUUUCAUCAUGGCGUGAAACAGCUGAGAAACAGGUCCUGAACAUCCAGCUCCAUAACAUACAAGAGGCUGAUGGUUGCUUAAGGUCCCAGCAAGGGGGCAAAGGAGUGAGUUCACAGCAAGAGGAACUGACAGAAGAAAUUAGCACUAGUUCCAGUUAA